rnacentral:rRNA from 1 species
ACUCCUACGGGAGGCAGCAGUGAGGAAUAUUGGUCAAUGGACGCAGGUUUGAACCAGCUAUGCCGCGUGCAGGUAGACUGCCCUAUUGGUUGUAAACUGCUUUUAUACGGGAAGAAACCCCCCAACGAGUUGGGGGCUGACGGUACCGUAAGAAUAAGGAUCGGCUAACUCCGU